GACGAACGCUGGCGGCGUGCCUAAUACAUGCAAGUUGAACGCUGAAGGAGGAGCUUGCUUCUCUGGAUGAGUUGCGAACGGGUGAGUAACGCGUAGGUAACCUGCCUGGUAGCGGGGGAUAACUAUUGGAAACGAUAGCUAAUACCGCAUAAGAGUAGAUGUUGCAUGACAUUUGCUUAAAAGGUGCAAUUGCAUCACUACCAGAUGGACCUGCGUUGUAUUAGCUAGUUGGUGAGGUAACGGCUCACCAAGGCAACGAUACAUAGCCGACCUGAGAGGGUGAUCGGCCACACUGGGACUGAGACACGGCCCAGACUCCUACGGGAGGCAGCAGUAGGGAAUCUUCGGCAAUGGACGGAAGUCUGACCGAGCAACGCCGCGUGAGUGAAGAAGGUUUUCGGAUCGUAAAGCUCUGUUGUAAGAGAAGAACGAGUGUGAGAGUGGAAAGUUCACACUGUGACGGUAGCUUACCAGAAAGGGACGGCUAACUACGUG
rnacentral:rRNA from 1 species